rnacentral:rRNA from 1 species
CCUACGGGAGGCAGCAGUGGGGAAUAUUGGACAAUGGGCGAAAGCCUGAUCCAGCCAUGCCGCGUGUGUGAAGAAGGCCUUCGGGUUGUAAAGCACUUUCAGUGGGGAAGAAAGCCUUGGGGCUAAUACCCUCGAGGAAGGACAUCACCCACAGAAGAAGCACCGGCUAACUCCGUGCCAGCAGCCGCGGUAAUACGGAGGGUGCGAGCGUUAAUCGGAAUUACUGGGCGUAAAGCGCGCGUAGGCGGUCUGAUAAGCCGGUUGUGAAAGCCCCGGGCUCAACCUGGGAACGGCAUCCGGAACUGUCAGGCUAGAGUGCAGGAGAGGAAGGUAGAAUUCCCGGUGUAGCGGUGAAAUGCGUAGAGAUCGGGAGGAAUACCAGUGGCGAAGGCGGCCUUCUGGACUGACACUGACGCUGAGGUGCGAAAGCGUGGGUAGCAAACAGGAUCAGAUACCCCGGUAGUC